rnacentral:lncRNA from 1 species
AUUUUAUUAAGAUGUUUGUCCACUAACUUCCAUUUAAUAAAUUACAUCAGUACUUUAGGCCUAAUUAAUUUGUUGAGAAAGUGUUAGCUCUUACCCAGUUUCUAUUUGUACUGCCUUAUAGACAUGUGGUUCUACCAGGGGUAGGGAGCAUCAUUUAUUCUCUUCUUUCCAUAUAGAACAGUAAUUUGAAAAAUUCCUAUACUCUUUUGAAAAAAAAUAUGUUUUUAAAGUUUAGCUUUCAAUAUAAAGUAAUGAUUCAUAGAGCCUCUACUAAAAACUCCACAGUUAAAUCUAAGUGUAAUUAUACUAAAAGCACCAUAAAUGACGUAUCAUGGGUUCGAAAUACAGUAAAUUUUCAAUUCCUUUUCACUGUGUAGCUGACUGAGGAAAUAGUCUUUCCUCUUCUAUGUUCUGAACUCCUGCUGUCUAUAUUUUGAGCAAAUUCUAAUUAUCUGGCCUGGGCUAAAGGUGCCUCAGUUUCCAAAAAUUUGUUCAGAAUAUGUUCUGUUGUCAGUUUGUAAGGAGGGUUUUACCCUGCAGAGAGCAUGAUUGUAUGUGUCUGAGUACUUUUGAUACUAAGAAAAGCAGAGUUCCAAGCCAGGUGUGGUGGUACAUGCCUAUAAUCCCAGCAACUUAAGGAAACCGAGGCAGGAGGACCUCAGGUUCAAAGCCAGCUUCAGCAAUUUAGUGAGACC